UGGGGAAUCAUGGUCAAUGGGCGAAAGCCUGAACCUGCAACGCCGCGUGAGGGAGGAAUGUCUUCGGAUUGUAAACCUCUGUCCUUGGGGACGAAAAAAAUGACGGUACCCAAGGAGGAAGCUCCGGCUAACUACGUGCCAGCAGCCGCGGUAAUACGUAGGGAGCAAGCGUUGUCCGGAAUUACUGGGCGUAAAGGGUGCGUAGGCGGCAUGGCAAGUCAGAUGUGAAAUCCCCGGGCUUAACUCGGGUGGUGCAUUUGAAACUGCCAAGCUUGAGUGCAGGAGAGGAAAGCGGAAUUCCUAGUGUAGCGGUGAAAUGCGUAGAUAUUAGGAGGAACACCAGUGGCGAAGGCGGCUUUCUGGACUGUAACUGACGCUGAGGCACGAAAGCGUGGGGAGCAAACA
rnacentral:rRNA from 1 species